UCGAGCGGUAAGGCUCCUUCGGGAGUACACGAGCGGCGAACGGGUGAGUAACACGUGAGUAACCUGCCCCAUUCAUCGGAAUAACCAGUGGAAACGCUGGCUAAUGCCGAAUACGACCACCGAAGGCAUCUUCUGGUGGUGGAAAGCUCCGGCGGAAUGGGAUGGACUCGCGGCCUAUCAGCUUGUUGGUGAGGUAAUGGCUCACCAAGGCGACGACGGGUAGCCGGCCUGAGAGGGUGACCGGCCACACUGGGACUGAGACACGGCCCAGACUCCUACGGGAGGCAGCAGUGGGGAAUAUUGGACAAUGGGCGAAAGCCUGAUCCAGCAACGCCGCGUGAGGGAUGACGGCCUUCGGGUUGUAAACCUCUUUCAGCAGGGACGAAGCGAAAGUGACGGUACCUGCAGAAGAAGGACCGGCCAACUACGUGCCAGCAGCCGCGGUAAUACGUAGGGUCCGAGCGUUGUCCGGAAUUAUUGGGCGUAAAGGGCUCGUAGGCGGUUUGUCACGUCGGAAGUGAAAACUCAGGGCUCAACCCUGAGCGUGCUUACGAUACGGGCAAACUAGAGGUAUGCAGGGGAGAACGGAAUUCCUGGUGUAGCGGUGGAAUGCGCAGAUAUCAGGAGGAACACCGGUGGCGAAGGCGGUUCUCUGGGCAUUACCUGACGCUGAGGAGCGAAAGCAUGGGGAGCGAAC
rnacentral:rRNA from 1 species